rnacentral:rRNA from 1 species
AUGUGAAUUAAUGCAGAUAGUGGAUGCCUAGGCUUAUCUGGCCGAGGAAGGACGCACACUCCGCGAAAGUCAACGGGGAACUGAGAAAAAGUUUUGAUCCGUUGGUAUCCGAAUUGAGUAAUCACGCUACCAGAGAUGGUAGUGGCCCUCAUUUUUAAUGAGGUGGGUAACCCCCCAAACUGAAAUAUCUAAGUAGGGGGAGGAAUAGAAAUCGUAAGAGAUUCCCUAAGUAAGCGACGAGCGAACAGGGAUCAGCCCAAACCAGAAUUUAUUCUGGGGUUGUAGGACCUCGAUAUUCGAUUUUCAUUUAUAGAAGAACACUGUGGAAUAAGUGACCAUAGAAGGUGAGAGUCCUGUAAACGAAAUAAAUGAAAGCGAUAGAGUGUUCCUGAGUAGACUGAGAGACGGCAAACUCUCUUUUGAAUCUGGGGUGACCACACUCCAAGGCUAAAUACCAGAUAAGACCGAUAGUGAACGAGUACCGUGAGGGAAAGGUGAAAAGAAGGGUCGAUGACCCCGUGAAAUAGAACCUGAAACCAUCUGCUAACAAUCAGACAAAGCCCAUUUACUGGGUAAUGUCGUGCCUAUUGAAGAAUGAGCCGGCGAGUAUUUGACAACUGCUUUAGGUUAAGGCAUUCCGUGCCGAAGCCGUAGUGAAAGCGAGCGUGAAUAGCGCGAUUUUGUAGUUGUUGAAUGACCCGAAACCGGGUGAGCUUACCAUGACCAGGAUGAAACCCGUUGAAUAAACGAGUGGAGGUCCGAACCGGUGAAUGCUGCAAGAUUCUCGGAUGAGUUGUGGUAAGAGGUAAUAUGCCAAUCGAACCCGGAGAUAGCUGGUUCUCCCUGAAAUAUAUUUAGGUAUAGGGUCGCGUGAAGUCAUGUGGGGGUAGAGCACUGAUCUGGUGUCUGGGGAUAAAACUCUAGCAUCUAGUCAAACUCCGAAUACCAUAUGAUGUUUCGCGGCACUCAGCACCUGGGAGCUAAGUUCCAGGAACAAAAGGAAAACAAACCAGACCAACAGCUAAGGUCUCAAAUUGUAUGUUUAGUGGGAAAGGAAGUGUUAUUCCGAAAACACCUAGGAGGUCGGCUCAGAAGCAGCCAUCCUUUAAAGAAAGCGUAACAGCUCACUAGCCGAGGAAUAGCGCGCCGAAAAUCCAACGAGGCUCAAACAUACAACCGAAGCUUUGGGUUUCACCAAGCAAUUGGUGGAGCGGUAAGGGAGCGUUCUGUGUGCAUUGAAGGUCAGCCGUAAGGACUGGCUGGAGCGAUCAGAAGUGAGAAUGCCGGCAUGAGUAGCGAAAUUGGGGUGAGAAUCCCCGACUCCGAAAGACCAAGGUUUCCGCACCCACGUUCGUCGUGUGCGGGUUAGACGACCCUAAGGUAAGCCCUCACCAAUGAGGGGUAGCCGAUGGAUUACUGGUUAAUAUUCCAGUUCUUGGUAUGAAUCAUUUGACUUGGGGAGGGACGGUUUUGGAUAACGUAUAAACAGUGGUGAAUAUUGUUUCAAAGCACUAAAGCAGUUUGGGUAGGCAAAUCCGCUCAAACAUUUAUCUGAGGUGUGAUAGGUCUUUAAUCCUUCGGGAAAGAAGAUAUGCGUGAUUUCAGAAUCCUGGAAAAGCUUCGCAAGGAGAUUUAUAUCAAAUCGUACCGAUAACCGACACAGGUGGUUGAGUCGAGAAGACUCAGGAGAGCGAGAGAAAGUAGUUUAAGGAAUUCGGCAAAACAACUGGGCGUAAUUUAGAGAGAUGCCCUCCUCUUUGAUCUUCGGAUUGAAGAGGCGCAGUUAAUGUCAUGGGGUUGACUGUUUACCAAAAACACAGGUCUGUGCAAACUCGUAAGAGGAAGUAUACGGGCUGAAGCCUGCCCAGUGCCGGAAGGUUAAGUGCGUGGGUCUUUUCAGAUUUAUCUGGAUCGGCUUGCAAUCGAAGCCCCGGUGAACGGCAGCAGUAACUAUAACUGUUCUAUGGUAGCGAAGUUCCUUGUCACUUAAUUGGUGACGCGCACGAAAGGUUUAACAAGCCCCAUACUGUCUUGAACUAUUACUCGGCGAAAUUGAAAUGGCUGUGAAGAUGCGGCCUACUGACAGCAGGACAAAAAGACCCCGUAGAGCUUUACUACAACUUGACACUGAUGAUGAAUCCGGAAUUGUUUAGGAUAGGCGGGAGAGACCUUCAUUUUGUUGGUUUCACCGGUGAAAUACCGCCCGUUUUGUUUUCAUUAUCUCACUUACUCUUACUGCAUACGUAAGAAAGGACACUGUUUGGUGGGUAGUUUAACUGGGGAGGUUGCUUGCUAAAGAGUAACGCAAGCGCGCAAUGGUACUCUUAGUCUGGAUAGAAAUCAGACGAGACGUGCAAUAGCAUAAGAGUGCUUUACUGUGAGGCAUACAGGCCGAGCAGUUGCGAAAGCAGGUUAUAGUGAUCCUCGUGUGUUUUGUGGAAGACACCGGGCUUAUCGGAUAAAAGUUACCUCGGGGAUAACAGAGUCAUCGCACCUAAGCGUCCCUAGCGUCGGUGCGGUUUGCUACCUCGAUGUCGGCUCAUCGCAUCCUGGGGCUGAAGAAGGUCCCAAGGGUUUGUCUGUUCGCCAAUUAAAGCGGUACGCGAGCUGGGUUCAGACCGUCGUGAGACAGGUCGGCCUCUAUCCGCUGUCAGCGUUAGAUAGUUGAGAGAGUUUGCUCCUAGUACGAGAGGACCGGAGUGAGAAAAUCCCUAGUGUUCCAGUUGUUACUGUCAAGUGCAUUGCUGGGUAGCUACAUUUUUUAUGGAUAAUCGCUGAAAGCAUCUAAGCGAGAAGCCAGUCUCAAGAUUAACUAUCUCCAUUAGACCCGUGAGAGAACAUCACGUUGAUAGGCAGUGAGUGCAAGUCUGGUGACAGAUUUAGCUUAACUGUACUAAGUGUUG